UGCGGAAUUUUAGAUAAUGGAGGGAACUCUGAUCUAGCGACGCCGCGUGCAGGAAGAAGGUCUUCGGAUUGUAAACUGCUGUGGUAAGGGAAAAAUGCUAUGUAGAGUGGAAAGCUACAUAGAGGGAUGGUACCUUACUAGAAAGCCCCGGCUAACUACGUGCCAGCAGCCGCGGUAAUACGUAGGGGGCGAGCGUUACCCGGAAUCACUGGGCGUAAAGGGAGCGUAGGUGGCCUAACAUGUCAACUGUGAAGACCCGGAGCUCAACUCCGGACUUGCAGUUGAAACUGGUAGACUUGAGGACGGUAGAGGAAGACGGAACUGCCAGUGUAGGGGUAAAAUCCUUAGAUAUUGGCAGGAACGCCGGUGACGAAGGUGGUCUUCUGGGCCGGUUCUGACACUGAUGCUCGAAAGCCAGGGGAGCGAACGG
rnacentral:rRNA from 1 species